rnacentral:rRNA from 1 species
CCUACGGGCGGCAGCAGUGAGGAAUAUUGGUCAAUGGGCGUAAGCCUGAACCAGCCAAGUCGCGUGAAGGAUGAAUGUUCUAUGGGUCGUAAACCUCUUUUAUAAGGGAAUAAAGUGCGGGACGUGUCCCUUUUUGUAUGUACCUUAUGAAUAAGGAUCGGCUAACUCCGUGCCAGCAGCCGCGGUAAUACGGAGGAUCCGAGCGUUAUCCGGAUUUAUUGGGUUUAAAGGGUGCGUAGGCGGUCUUUAAGUCAGCGGUGAAAGUUUGCGGCUCAACCAUAAAAUUGCAGUUGAAACUGGGAGGCUUGAGUAUGGUUGAGGCAGGCGGAAUGCGUGGUGUAGCGGUGAAAUGCUUAGAUAUCACGAAGAACCCCGAUUGCGAAGGCAGCUUGCCAAGCCAUGACUGACGCUGAUGCACGAAAGCGUGGGGAUCAAACAGGAUUAGAUACCCGUGUAGUC